rnacentral:rRNA from 1 species
UACGGAGGGGGCGAGCGUUAUUCGGAAUCAUUGGGCGUAAAGGGCGCGUAGGCGGCUUGGCAAGUGGAUGGUGAAAUCCCUCGGCUUAACCGAGGAACUGCCGUCCAAACUGCUUUGCUUGAGGCCGGGAGAGGCGAGUGGAAUUCCCAGUGUAGCGGUGAAAUGCGUAGAUAUUGGGAGGAACACCAGUGGCGAAGGCGGCUCGCUGGACCGGUUCUGACGCUGAUGCGCGAAAGCGUGGGGAGCAAACGGG